GAGAGAGAGAGAGAGAGAGAGAGAGAGAGAGGCAGAGACAGAGAGAGAGAGACAGAGAGACAGUCACACACACACACACACACACAGACUCCCAAAGCCUUUUUUCACAUGCAGACACAGGAGUAAAUGAAUAUCUAAAAAAUAUUGUUUAUUUCUUCUGUUGUUGUUUUCUGUUUUCGAGACAGGGUGUUUCUUUGUGUAGCCCUGCCUGUCCUGGACUCGAUUUGAAGACCAGAUUGGUGUCAAACUCACAGGGAUCAGCGUGCCUCUGCCUUCCGAGUGCUGGGAUUCAUUACCAUUGCCCAGCUCCACUGAAUGGAAACUUAGGGCUGGUCUGGUAUGGAUCAUGAGGAGACCUAGGGACUUGUCUGUCCCCAAGAAGGGAAGGUGCUCUGCGCUGAGACUGGGGUCCCUGUCACUCUCCUCUGUUCCUGUGAGUGCCACAGGCCUGGAGCAUGCUGAGGUAGAGGCAAGCCAUCCUCUCUUGGCUCCGGUUGCUUCCUUAAGUAGGUGCGGUGCGGCUGUUUCCUUUGCAGAGUCCGGCAGCAGCUCUCUUCCCUGACAGCCUUUCCUCGGCUCACUUGAGCCACGAGAAAACUCAGAAGACACAGAAACAAGUGACUGAAAGAGUCAUGCCACCCUUCCAAAUUCUCUGCUGCCCACACAAACUCCCACACAGAGGUGCUGGGGUCAGGCCCACUCUUCUCUCAAAUGCCCCUCUGUCGUGGGGAAAGCUGUGGGGGCAAAGUGACAGAGACAAUGCCCCGCCCUCUUUGUGUGUGUGUGUGUGUCUCAUGCAUGUUCUCGUGCACGUGCCUAG
rnacentral:lncRNA from 1 species